rnacentral:tRNA from 1 species
CAAAGUGUAGCUUAAAUUAAAGCAUUUGAUUUACACUCAAAAGAUUUCAACCCUAUUUG